GCGCAGCAGGCGCGAAUACUUUACAAUGUGCGAAAGCACGAUAAGGGAACUCUGAGUGCCUCCUAAGGAGGCUGUCCAGGUGUCUAAAAAGCACCUGGAGUAAGGGCUGGGUAAGACCGGUGCCAGCCGCCGCGGUAACACCGGCAGCCCAGGUGGUAGCCACUUUUAGUUGGGUCUAAAGCGUCCGUAGCCGGUUGAGUAAGUUCCUUGGGAAAUUUGGCUGCUCAACAGCCAAGCUUCCAGGGAAUACUGCUCGACUUGGGGACUGGGAGAGGUCAGAGGUACUCCAGGGGUAGGGUGAAAAUCCAGUUAAUCCCUGGGGGACCACCGGUAGCGAAGGCGUCUGACCAGACCAGGUCCGACGGUGAGGGGACGAAGGCUAGGGGCGCGAACC
rnacentral:rRNA from 1 species